GAGGGUAUAGCUCAGUGGUAGUGUGCUUGGCAUGCAGGAGGUCCUGGGUUCAAUCCCCAGUACCUCCA
rfam:Camelus ferus unplaced genomic scaffold scaffold554, whole genome shotgun sequence.